rnacentral:lncRNA from 1 species
UCAGGGAAAACAUCAGGGUAUUCUCCACAAUAGGAAUAUCAUCUAGUCUUGUCUCAAUUCGAGUAUCUAUGACAUAGGCUAGAUAGGCUUGACACCCUUUUCUUAAUGCUUUGCGUGCACACAUAGCAGAAACAAUAUGUAAAGAAGACUUACAUUGCUUGGGUGCAUCGCCUUGAAAGAAAAAUUCCAGCUCCCCUGGUAUAUGGAACACUACUCUCUUUCUGAAGCAGUCUAUAUGAGCAUGGUACUUGGACAGCCAAUCCAUUCCCAAGAUGAUGUCAAAAUCUUGCAUGUCUAGCUGUAUUAAGUCUGCCACUAACUCCCUUUCUCCUAACUGAAUUAUGCACUUCUUGAAGAUAAUGUCAGCAAUUACUGUUUUUUGUAGGGGUGUAGCAACAUAUAAUGGCUCCACUAAUUUCUCAGGUAUGCAAUAUAAAGAGCUAGAGAAUUUGAUAGAUACAAAAGAAUGUGUAGAGCCAGAAUCAAAUAAUAUAGAUGUAUCAACUGUAUUGAUGGGGAUAGUACCUGUCACCACACUUUCGCUUGCACUGACAUCCUGCUGAGUCAAUGCAAAGACCCGAGCAGUCCCCUUCUACUUCUGAUCCCCUGAUCCAAUAGGCCUAGGGUCAUUCUUCUUUU